GACUCAGUGGUUUAAUGGUAAAGCGCUCGUCACGAGCCAGAGGGUUCUGGGUUCAACCUCCAACGGGGUUG
rnacentral:tRNA from 1 species